rnacentral:tRNA from 1 species
GCUAACGUAGCUUAAUUAAAGCAUAAC